rnacentral:rRNA from 1 species
GACGAACGCUGGCGGCGUGCUUAACACAUGCAAGUCGAACGAUGAAGCUGGAGCUUGCUCCGGUGGAUUAGUGGCGAACGGGUGAGUAACACGUGAGCAAUCUGCCCGUGACUCUGGGAUAACUGCGGGAAACUGUAGCUAAUACCGGAUAUCGCGCUUUGAGGCAUCUCCGGGCGCUGAAAGAAUUUCGGUCAAGGAUGAGCUCGCGGCCUAUCAGCUAGUUGGUAAGGUAAUGGCUCACCAAGGCGACGACGGGUAGCCGGCCUGAGAGGGUGACCGGCCACACUGGGACUGAGACACGUCCCAGACUCCGACGGGAGGCAGCAGUGGGGAAUAUUGCACAAUGGGCGAAAGCCUGAUGCAGCACCGCCGCGUGAGGGAUGAAGGCCUUCGGGUUGUAAACCUCUUUUAGCAGGGAAGAAGCGAAAGUGACGGUACCUGCAGAAAAAGCACCGGCUAACUACGUGCCAGCAGCCGCGGUAA